AUGGAAGUGAAGAGGAUAUUGCUGGCGAUAAAAAGGAAACGGGUCUUGAUAAAUGGAGUUUAUGUAUGUCUAAGCUUUAGAGAAAGUUUUGAAUUAUGGGAAGAAGGUGAUACCUAUCGUUCUCCGAUGGAGCUUCAAAAGAUAUUUUGCCUAGAAUCUUUUUCCCCCUUUUUCUGUUCCAGGAAGCCUUCUUAUAAGCCUGUUGGAGUGACUUUGGAGGGAAAGUUUUUGGUAAUUUUAACAAAAGUGGUUUGGACAGGGUUAGGGGAAGCAUAG